rnacentral:rRNA from 1 species
GAUGAACGCUAGCGGCAGGCCUAACACAUGCAAGUCGAGGGGUAGAACACUUCGGUGUUUGAGACCGGCGCACGGGUGCGUAACGCGUAUGCAAUCUACCUUGUACAGGGGAAUAGCCCAGAGAAAUUUGGAUUAAUGCCCCAUAGUAUAUAACCUUCGCAUGUUGGUUAUAUUAAAGUUCCAACGGUACAAGAUGAGCAUGCGUCCCAUUAGUUAGUUGGUAAGGUAACGGCUUACCAAGACGAUGAUGGGUAGGGGUCCUGAGAGGGAAAGCCCCCACACUGGUACUGAGACACGGACCAGACUCCUACGGGAGGCAGCAGUGAGGAAUAUUGGGCAAAGGGCGCAAGCCUGAACCAGCCAUGCCGCGUGCAGGAAGACGGUCCUAUGGAUUGUAAACUGCUUUUAUACAGGAAGAAACAACUCUACGUGUAGAGUCUUGACGGUACUGUAGGAAUAAGGAUCGGCUAACUCCGUGCCAGCCGCCGCUGUAAGAC